UUAAGCGACUAAGCGUACACGGUGGAUGCCCUGGCAGUCAGAGGCGAUGAAGGACGUGCUAAUCUGCGAUAAGCGUCGGUAAGGUGAUAUGAACCGUUAUAACCGGCGAUUUCCGAAUGGGGAAACCCAGUGUGAUUCGUCACACUAUCAUUAACUGAAUCCAUAGGUUAAUGAGGCGAACCGGGGGAACUGAAACAUCUAAGUACCCCGAGGAAAAGAAAUCAACCGAGAUUCCCCCAGUAGCGGCGAGCGAACGGGGAGCAGCCCAGAGCCUGAAUCAGUGUGUGUGUUAGUGGAAGCGUCUGGAAAGGCGCGCGAUACAGGGUGACAGCCCCGUACACAAAAAUGCACAUGCUGUGAGCUCGAUGAGUAGGGCGGGACACGUGGUAUCCUGUCUGAAUAUGGGGGGACCAUCCUCCAAGGCUAAAUACUCCUGACUGACCGAUAGUGAACCAGUACCGUGAGGGAAAGGCGAAAAGAACCCCGGCGAGGGGAGUGAAAAAGAACCUGAAACCGUGUACGUACAAGCAGUGGGAGCACAGAGCAAUCUGUGUGACUGCGUACCUUUUGUAUAAUGGGUCAGCGACUUAUAUUCUGUAGCAAGGUUAACCGAAUAGGGGAGCCGAAGGGAAACCGAGUCUUAACUGGGCGUUAAGUUGCAGGGUAUAGACCCGAAACCCGGUGAUCUAGCCAUGGGCAGGUUGAAGGUUGGGUAACACUAACUGGAGGACCGAACCGACUAAUGUUGAAAAAUUAGCGGAUGACUUGUGGCUGGGGGUGAAAGGCCAAUCAAACCGGGAGAUAGCUGGUUCUCCCCGAAAGCUAUUUAGGUAGCGCCUCGUGAAUUCAUCUCCGGGGGUAGAGCACUGUUUCGGCAAGGGGGUCAUCCCGACUUACCAACCCGAUGCAAACUGCGAAUACCGGAGAAUGUUAUCACGGGAGACACACGGCGGGUGCUAACGUCCGUCGUGAAGAGGGAAACAACCCAGACCGCCAGCUAAGGUCCCAAAGUCAUGGUUAAGUGGGAAACGAUGUGGGAAGGCCCAGACAGCCAGGAUGUUGGCUUAGAAGCAGCCAUCAUUUAAAGAAAGCGUAAUAGCUCACUGGUCGAGUCGGCCUGCGCGGAAGAUGUAACGGGGCUAAACCAUGCACCGAAGCUGCGGCAGCGACGCUGAUGCGUUGUUGGGUAGGGGAGCGUUCUGUAAGCCUGCGAAGGUGUGCUGUGAGGCAUGCUGGAGGUAUCAGAAGUGCGAAUGCUGACAUAAGUAACGAUAAAGCGGGUGAAAAGCCCGCUCGCCGGAAGACCAAGGGUUCCUGUCCAACGUUAAUCGGGGCAGGGUGAGUCGACCCCUAAGGCGAGGCCGAAAGGCGUAGUCGAUGGGAAACAGGUUAAUAUUCCUGUACUUGGUGUUACUGCGAAGGGGGGACGGAGAAGGCUAUGUUGGCCGGGCGACGGUUGUCCCGGUUUAAGCGUGUAGGCUGGUUUUCCAGGCAAAUCCGGAAAAUCAAGGCUGAGGCGUGAUGACGAGGCACUACGGUGCUGAAGCAACAAAUGCCCUGCUUCCAGGAAAAGCCUCUAAGCAUCAGGUAACAUCAAAUCGUACCCCAAACCGACACAGGUGGUCAGGUAGAGAAUACCAAGGCGCUUGAGAGAACUCGGGUGAAGGAACUAGGCAAAAUGGUGCCGUAACUUCGGGAGAAGGCACGCUGAUAUGUAGGUGAAGUCCCUCGCGGAUGGAGCUGAAAUCAGUCGAAGAUACCAGCUGGCUGCAACUGUUUAUUAAAAACACAGCACUGUGCAAACACGAAAGUGGACGUAUACGGUGUGACGCCUGCCCGGUGCCGGAAGGUUAAUUGAUGGGGUCAGCGCAAGCGAAGCUCUUGAUCGAAGCCCCGGUAAACGGCGGCCGUAACUAUAACGGUCCUAAGGUAGCGAAAUUCCUUGUCGGGUAAGUUCCGACCUGCACGAAUGGCGUAAUGAUGGCCAGGCUGUCUCCACCCGAGACUCAGUGAAAUUGAACUCGCUGUGAAGAUGCAGUGUACCCGCGGCAAGACGGAAAGACCCCGUGAACCUUUUACUAUAGCUUGACACUGAACAUUGAGCCUUGAUGUGUAGGAUAGGUGGGAGGCUUUGAAGUGUGGACGCCAGUCUGCAUGGAGCCGGCCUUGAAAUACCACCCUUUAAUGUUUGAUGUUCUAACGUUGACCCGUGAUCCGGGUUGCGGACAGUGUCUGGUGGGUAGUUUGACUGGGGCGGUCUCCUCCUAAAGAGUAACGGAGGAGCACGAAGGUUGGCUAAUCCUGGUCGGACAUCAGGAGGUUAGUGCAAUGGCAUAAGCCAGCUUGACUGCGAGCGUGACGGCGCGAGCAGGUGCGAAAGCAGGUCAUAGUGAUCCGGUGGUUCUGAAUGGAAGGGCCAUCGCUCAACGGAUAAAAGGUACUCCGGGGAUAACAGGCUGAUACCGCCCAAGAGUUCAUAUCGACGGCGGUGUUUGGCACCUCGAUGUCGGCUCAUCACAUCCUGGGGCUGAAGUAGGUCCCAAGGGUAUGGCUGUUCGCCAUUUAAAGUGGUACGCGAGCUGGGUUUAGAACGUCGUGAGACAGUUCGGUCCCUAUCUGCCGUGGGCGCUGGAGAACUGAGGGGGCUGCUCCUAGUACGAGAGGACCGGAGUGGACGCAUCACUGGUGUUCGGGUUGUCAUGCCAAUGGCACUGCCCGGUAGCUAAAUGCGGAAGAGAUAAGUGCUGAAAGCAUCUAAGCACGAAACUUGCCCCGAGAUGAGUUCUCCCUGACUCCUUGAGAGUCCUGAAGGAACGUUGAAGACGACGACGUUGAUAGGCCGGGUGUGUAAGCGCAGCGAUGCGUUGAGCUAACCGGUACUAAUGAACCGUGAGGCUUAACCUU
rnacentral:rRNA from 1 species